rnacentral:rRNA from 1 species
GAAUGCGAUCAUACCAGCACUAACGCACUAGAUACCAUCAGAAGUCCAAAGUUAAGCGUGCUUGGAGGAGAGAAGUACUAGGAUGAAUGACCCCUUGGGAUGUCCUCGUGUUGCAUCCC